UACCGUUUGAUCAUGGCUCAGAUUGAACGCUGGCGGCAUGCCUUACACAUGCAAGUCGAACGGCAGCACGGGAGCUUGCNNNUGGUGGCGAGUGGCGAACGGGUGAGUAAUGCAUCGGAACGUACCCAGGAGUGGGGGAUAACUAUCCGAAAGGAUGGCUAAUACCGCAUAUUCUGUGAGCAGGAAAGCGGGGGAUCGCAAGACCUCGCGCUCUUGGAGCGGCCGAUGUCGGAUUAGCUAGUUGGUGAGGUAAAGGCUCACCAAGGCGACGAUCCGUAGCAGGUCUGAGAGGAUGAUCUGCCACACUGGGACUGAGACACGGCCCAGACUCCUACGGGAGGCAGCAGUGGGGAAUUUUGGACAAUGGGGGCAACCCUGAUCCAGCCAUGCCGCGUGAGUGAAGAAGGCCUUCGGGUUGUAAAGCUCUUUCGGCGGGGAAGAAAUAGCAACGGCUAAUAUCCGUUGUUGAUGACGGUACCCGCAUAAGAAGCACCGGCUAACUACGUGCCAGCAGCCGCGGUAAUACGUAGGGUGCGAGCGUUAAUCGGAAUUACUGGGCGUAAGGCGUGCGCAGGCGGUUUCGUAAGACAGACGUGAAAUCCCCGGGCUCAACCUGGGAACUGCGUUUGUGACUGCGAGGCUAGAGUACGGCAGAGGGGGGUAGAAUUCCACGUGUAGCAGUGAAAUGCGUAGAGAUGUGGAGGAAUACCGAUGGCGAAGGCAGCCCCCUGGGUUAGUACUGACGC
rnacentral:rRNA from 1 species